CCAAUCGAACCCGGAGAUAGCUGGUUCUCCUCGAAAUAGCUUUAGGGCUAGCCUCAUACAAGUCUGCCGGAGGUAGAGCACUGAAUUUCCGCGGGGGCGUCAAAGCCUACCAAAGAAUAUCAAACUCCGAAUGCCGGACAGAUGGUGUAUGGGAGUCAGACUGUACGAGAUAAGUUGGACAGUCAAAAGGGAAAGAGCCCAGACCGCCGGCUAAGGUCCCAAAGUGGGUGUUAAGUGGAAAAGGAUGUGGGAUCUCUAAGACAACCAGGAUGUUGGCUCAGAAGCAGCCAUUCAUUAAAAGAGUGCGUAACAGCUCACUGGUCGAGAGGUCCUGCGCCGAAAAUGUCCGGGGCUGAAACACCACACCGAAGCCGCGGAACUCGUAAGAGUUGGUAGAGGAGCAUUCUUAGGGGAGGGAAGCAUUACCGGAAGGGGAUGUGGACUGCUAAGAAGAGAGAAUGCCGGAAUGAGUAGCGAGAGCAAGGUGGGAAUCCUUGCGGCCGAAUAUCCAAGGUUUCCAGAGUAAAGCUGAUCUGCUCUGGGUAAGUCGGGGCCUAAGGAGAGGCAGGGAUGCGUAUCCGAUGGACAGCAGGUAAAAGAUUCCUGCACCCCUUGUUAUCAGAACUGCGGGGACACGGGAAGGGAAGCAGAGCCGGGAAUGGAAAGCCCGGUGCAAGCGAAGUAGUCGCAGGAUUGGAAAAUCCGUCCUGCAUAAGACAAAGGCGUGAUGCGGAGCGAAACGAAGUAGCGAAGCUGCGGCCCCUUCCUGUCGAGAAAAGCCGCUAUCGUGUAGCAAGGGCCCGUACCGUAAACCGACACAGGUGGAUGAGGAGAGGAUCCUAAGGCCGGCGGGAGAAGUGUUGUUAAGGAACUCGGCAAAAUGACUCCGUAACUUCGGGAGAAGGAGUGCUGCGCAAGCAGCCGCAGAGAAAUGGCCCAAGCAACUGUUUAGCAAAAACACAGGUCUAUGCGAAACCGAAAGGUGAGGUAUAUGGGCUGACGCCUGCCCGGUGCUGGAAGGUUAAGGGGAGAGGUUAGCGCAAGCGAAGCUUUGAACUUAAGCCCCAGUAAACGGCGGCCGUAACUAUAACGGUCCUAAGGUAGCGAAAUUCCUUGUCGGGUAAGUUCCGACCCGCACGAAAGGCGUAAUGAUUUGAGCGCUGUCUCGACAAUGCAUCCGGUGAAAUUGAAGUACCAGUGAAGAUGCUGGUUACCUGCGCCAGGACGGAAAGACCCCAUGGAGCUUUACUCCAGCUUGAUACUGGGAUUCGGUAUUGCAUGUACAGGAUAGGUGGGAGGCUAAGAACUUAUGGCGCCAGCCGUGAGGGAGCCGGUGUUGGGAUACCACCCCUGCAGUACUGGGUUUCUAACCUGCGCCCGUGACCCGGGCGGGGGACAAUGUCAGGCGGGGAGUUUGACUGGGGCGGUCGCCUCCGAAAGGGUAUCGGAGGCGCUCAAAGGUUCCCUCAGAAUGGUUGGAAACCAUUCGAAGAGUGCAAAGGCAGAAGGGAGCUUGACUGCGACACCGACGGGUGGAGCAGGUACGAAAGUAGGACUUAGUGAUCCGGUGGUAUAAAGUGGGAUUGCCAUCGCUCAACGGAUAAAAGCUACCCUGGGGAUAACAGGCUUAUCACUCCCAAGAGUUCACAUCGACGGAGUGGUUUGGCACCUCGAUGUCGGCUCAUCGCAUCCUGGGGCUGUAGUAGGUCCCAAGGGUUGGGCUGUUCGCCCAUUAAAGCGGUACGCGAGCUGGGUUCAGAACGUCGUGAGACAGUUCGGUCCCUAUCCGGCGUGGGCGUAGGAUAUUUGAGAGGAGCUGCCCUUAGUACGAGAGGACCGGGAUGGACUGGCCGCUGGUGUAUCUGUUGUAUUACCAAGUGCAUAGCAGAGUAGCCAAGCCGGGAAGGGAUAAACGCUGAAGGCAUCUAAGCGUGAAGCCCCCCUCAAGAUGAGAUAUCCCAUAACGUCAAGUUAGUAAGACCCCUUGAAGACGACGAGGUAGAUAGGGCAGAGGUGGAAGUGUGGCAACACAUGGAGCUGACUGUUACUAAUAGGUCGAGGGCAUAACCAA
rnacentral:rRNA from 1 species